rnacentral:lncRNA from 1 species
GAUGUGGUCUUAAAGGAUGUUUUUAAUGAAUGAUUUAACAGAUCCUCAUAAAAAAUACAGUGAGAGUGUCAUAAUUAGCUCUUUGCACAUCACAUCCACAAAGACUGACUGAGAUACCACUCUACAAAGACAUGUUUCUUGUCAAUAGAAAACACAUCUCUUUAUACAAAUUAUACUCCAUUCAACAUAUACAUGGUAGAUAAAUAUCAAUAAGAUUUUUUUGCCACCCAUUGAUUCCUUGCAUGAUAUACAAAC